rnacentral:rRNA from 1 species
GAGUUUGAUCAUGGCUCAGGAUGAACGCUGGCGGCGUGCCUAAUACAUGCAAGUCGAACGAAACUUCUUUAUCACCGAGUGCUUGCACUCACCGAUAAAGAGUUGAGUGGCGAACGGGUGAGUAACACGUGGGCAACCUGCCCAAAAGAGGGGGAUAACACUUGGAAACAGGUGCUAAUACCGCAUAACCAUAGUUACCGCAUGGUAACUAUGUAAAAGGUGGCUAUGCUACCGCUUUUGGAUGGGCCCGCGGCGCAUUAGCUAGUUGGUGGGGUAAAGGCUUACCAAGGCAAUGAUGCGUAGCCGAACUGAGAGGUUGAUCGGCCACAUUGGGACUGAGACACGGCCCAAACUCCUACGGGAGGCAGCAGUAGGGAAUCUUCCACAAUGGGCGAAAGCCUGAUGGAGCAACGCCGCGUGGGUGAAGAAGGUCUUCGGAUCGUAAAACCCUGUUGUUAGAGAAGAAAGUGCGUGAGAGUAACUGUUCACGUUUCGACGGUAUCUAACCAGAAAGCCACGGCUAACUACGUGCCAGCAGCCGCGGUAAUACGUAGGUGGCAAGCGUUAUCCGGAUUUAUUGGGCGUAAAGGGAACGCAGGCGGUCUUUUAAGUCUGAUGUGAAAGCCUUCGGCUUAACCGGAGUAGUGCAUUGGAAACUGGGAGACUUGAGUGCAGAAGAGGAGAGUGGAACUCCAUGUGUAGCGGUGAAAUGCGUAGAUAUAUGGAAGAACACCAGUGGCGAAAGCGGCUCUCUGGUCUGUAACUGACGCUGAGGUUCGAAAGCGUGGGUAGCAAACAGGAUUAGAUACCCUGGUAGUCCACGCCGUAAACGAUGAAUGCUAAGUGUUGGAGGGUUUCCGCCCUUCAGUGCUGCAGCUAACGCAAUAAGCAUUCCGCCUGGGGAGUACGACCGCAAGGUUGAAACUCAAAGGAAUUGACGG